UCUACGCAAUAACUGCACGAUGGCUAUCCCGCUAAUUUCUCUGCUCCAGAUCCCCAUCGUCUUCCCAAUAGCUCUGCCCCCGCGGUCCCCUCCACCCUGCCGUACCGCCGCCGAGCUCCCGCGCCGCCUCCACGCGUGCCCGCUUUGCCGCCGUCAUGCUACAAGCCCUCCUAUAAUGGAUCCGCAGGGAGAGCGCACACCUGUCGCUGUAGAGGAAGAACCAGUGCACUCGCUGCCGCCGCCAUGUGAGAGGCUCCUGCUUCCGGAAGCGAGGAGCUGGUCGAGGUCCAACUCCUCAAGGAGAGGCGCACUCCACAUGCUCGCCGGGCUGCCCUCACCCACCCCAUGGCUACCUGCUCCCCGCUGCGCCCACCCACCCCAUGCACUACUAGCUUGCUGUGACCCUCCGCCAUGGGCAUCAGCGCCUGCCGUGGUAGCUGCGGCAAGCAUUUUCUGACCACUUAAGUGUUUGUUAUAAUGCCUGCAAGAAGUCAAGCAAAAAAGUAUUUCAAGUUUGUACCGAUGUUUAUGAUAGUUGGAGAUUAGGGGUAAAAUAUAUUUUCUUACUGGCUAAUGAUUGUAUCAAUUUGUUAUGUGGGAAUUUUGUUAUAGCAAAAGCUGAAUAGGUGUUCGUCGGCUAUCCGUCGUCUUCAUCUGCCCAUCUGCAUCAUGGUACGUUUGCUACAGCUUAGUAAUUAGAAUCAGUCCUGUUCAUGUCUGUGUUGCGUCAACUGCCAUUUUCCAAUAGAAUUUAUUUUGUGAGCAAUCGAUUUGGCCACAUCCUAACGGAACAUAAAACUCUGAUGAAUCGAUCUGGCCGCAUCAUUUUAGGCUUAUUGAUUGAUCUGGUUAAUUUGUUUGCAAUUUGCUAUGCAAAUCAAUCUAGCUGGUUUUUAGAGUUAAUCACAAUAACUGAAAUAUUAACCUCAAGAGGUCUCUUCACUAACUUUAGAGUUGAUUUUUAGAUCCAAAUAGAUUUAGUUCCUGCAGUAAUUUGCGAAUGCCGUACGUCCGAAGUGCUUUCAGCGAUACCAACAUGCACAUACAAGUGCUUCGAAGCAUGCAUGUUGAUUGAUUUCUGGGAGACUAGCAUGCACGAAGAAGCGAGCCUAGAUAAGCUUUCGGCUGUAGCUCACGAAUAUAUUCCAACAAAUUUCUUCUCCGUUGAACUAUUUUGUCCUACCGCAGAUGCCUAAUCAUCAAAACUAUGAGCCAGUAGGCCAUCAUUUACAAGUUCAACGAUUCAGUGAUGUUGAAGCUAAUCAUUUGACUUCACUGCCUUCUCACCAUAUAGGUAUUGUACCAAUUUUAAAUUUUAAGUUAGUGGGGUUGAUAAUUUGGUACUGCAGACAGUCACAUAAUGACUAAGUAUUGCUAAUUUUCCCAACGAAUCAAAGUUAGGUUCAUAUGUUCUCCGAGAAGCUUAGUAUAUGGCCUUUGGGCACAGGUACAUUUUAAAACAUGGCAUGGUGAUGAAAAUGUCUUCUUAGAAAAUGAAUUUGUAAUGAGAAAUUAUGUUCUAUUUUUUUCUAGCUAUAUACAAUUACUGAAGAUGGGCUAAGAGUUGUGCCUUUUUAAUUACUCCGAAUUUACAUAGCAAAGAAUCUGUAAUGAGAAGUUAUGUUUCAUGCAUGCAAAUAAUGUAUGCAUCUUCUGGAAUCCAAGGGUCAGAACAUUCAUCUGGACCCGUCAGGUAUGAUCUGCUUCUAGCAACAUUUCUUUUGUAAUUUAUGCAUCAUUGGAGCAUAAUGAUGUUUGUAAUACUUCUUUUCUUGUUUGCAGACAUAUCCGAGAUGCUGAUGAAAUCAGUCACCAAUUUUUGAAAAUCGACAAUGUUUAUAUGGACAUCAAAGCUUGAUGUUGUAUUUUCCCGUUACUCUACCUUCUACCAUAGACCACUGAACUUUUGCCUCCAGUGCAAUGAAUUAUACAUACCGCACAUGCUUCUGAUUUGUAAUGCCCUUUUUGCUACAUAUACAAUACUAUUGAAGCUUUUGACUGCUCAUACUUUACUUGAGAGUGUAAUUAUGCAACCCUAACUAUAUGAAGAAAGUAAUUAUGACCGACUCUACUUGCAGAAGGUUGGAGUCUAUUACAUCGAAAGAAGAAAUACUAUAUGAAGUUCCAAAGUUACUUUUUUAUUUGUGAAAGUCUGAUGCAUCUCAGACGCUGUUGCUUUGCUGCAGGAUGAUGAAGAGGAAAAGGGAAAGGGGAAGGAGCUCAUGGAAACAAAGAGGGGUGGAAUAAGGAAUAAACAAGGAUGGGAUGGGAGGCCUCCAAGCCAACGGCAAACUUCAUUAACGGUCCAUAUCACAUCUUGAAACCAGCAUUAGUUGAGACUACAAGAUUUAAAACAUCUUACUAUUGAUAAAAAAAUGGAAACUCAGGUAAAAGCAAGUAUCAUUAUACCGCUUGAGAAGACUAAAGCAUGGGAGAUUGUGGUUUCCAAAUCAGAGAAUUGUGGUCUUGAAGUUGUUGGUAAAAGGUAAUUCAUAUAGGCCAAGACGUUCUCACUAUGCCGCAAUGGGAACAUUUACGAAGAGAUUAACCAUCUGAAGACUUGGUUACCUGGUUUUAUUUUAAAGGAAGCCGUGUGUGAGGGAAAGAGAGCAAUAAAUUUGUGCACGAACUAACAGUGUUAGUAAGAAUUUAGCGUCAGCGAGGUUGGAGGAGACGAGGGCAUAUUAUUCCGGGUGGUGUCGAAGGAUGCGGGGAGCAAACCACCGCACCCAAGAGAGUAGAAAAAGGCCGGCUGUCCCUCAAACACAUUCCACAUAUGGGGAAGAAAUGAGGCUGUUCAGGCAGUCUGCUACGUCGGGUGCAGCUCACCUCAGACCAAGUUUUUUCUUUCUUUAUUCUCUCUCUCUCCAUCCCAACCAGUAAUAUGCAUGUGAUUGAUAAUUUGGGGGACCUGGCUGCAUGAAUAGACAAACGAGGUUCAAAGUGGACACAUCCAGACAUUGUUCAGAUGUGCCAGCUGACAUACAUUGGGUAGGUCAUAUUUUCCCAGUUCAAUUGUAGAUGCUUUUAUCUUUUUAGUAGAAUAGGUUAGGAUAGAUCAAACCAUAUUUCUUAACGAUACGUGCGUUGCACGU